rnacentral:tRNA from 1 species
CAUCAAGAAGCUAACUUAGCGCUAACCUUUUAAGUUAGAGAUUGGAAGAACCAAGUCUUCCCUUGAUGA